rnacentral:rRNA from 1 species
AGUGGCGGACGGGUGAGUAAUGUCUGGGAAACUGCCUGAUGGAGGGGGAUAACUACUGGAAACGGUAGCUAAUACCGCAUAACGUCGCAAGACCAAAGAGGGGGACCCUCGGGCCUCUUGCCAUCGGAUGUGCCCAGAUGGGAUUAGCUUGUUAGUGGGGCAACGGCUCACCAAGGCGACGAUCCCUAGCUGGUCUGAGAGGAUGACCAGCCACACUGGAACUGAGACACGGUCCAGACUCCUACGGGAGGCAGCAGUGGGGAAUAUUGCACAAUGGGCGCAAGCCUGAUGCAGCCAUGCCGCAUGUAUGAAGAAGGCCUUCGGGUUGUAAAGUACUUUCAGCGGGGAGGAAGGGGGUAAAGUUAAUACCUUUGCUCAUUGACGUUACCCGCAGAAGAAGCACCGGCUAACUCCGUGCCAGCAGCCGCGGUAAUACGGAGGGUGCAAGCGUUAAUCGGAAUUACUGGGCGUAAAGCGCACGCAGGCGGUUUGUUAAGUCAGAUGCGAAAUCCCCGGGCUCAACCUGGGAACUGCAUCUGAUACUGGCAAGCUUGAGUCUCGUAGAGGGGGGUAGAAUUCCAGGUGUAGCGGUGAAAUGCGUACAGAUCUGGAGGAAUACCGGGUGGCGAAGGCCGCCCCCCUGUACGAAGACCGCCGCUCAUGCUUUUUUACCUUGGGGAGCCCCCUGGAUUUGAUAC